CCCCCAAAAAACCAACCCCAAUACUUGUUUCUCAGCCCCAAAAACCAACAGCCACGUCUCAGCCCCCAAAACCAACCCCAACGCUCAUAUCUCAGCCCCGAAAAUGAACAGCUGCCCCAACAGCCACGUCUCAGCCCCAAAAACCAACCCCAAUACUCGUAUCUCAGCCCCCAAAACCAACCCCAACGCUCAUAUCUCAGCCCCCAAAACCAUCAGCCACCCCAACAGCCACAUCUCAGCCCCAAAAACCAACCCCAAUACUCGUAUCUCAGCCCCAAAAAUCAACAGCCACCCCAACAGCCACAUCCCGGACGCAAAACCCAACCCCAAUGCUCGUAUCUCAGCCCCCAAAACCACCAGUCACCCCAACAGCCAUGUCUUGCUCGUAUCUCAGCCCCCCAAACCACCAGUCACCCCAACAGCCAUGUCUCAGCCCCCAAAAAACCAAUCCCAACACUCAUAUCUCAGCCCCAAAAACCAACAGACAUGUCUCAGCCCCCAAAAGCCAACCCCAAUACUCGUAUCUCAGCCCCCAAAACCAUCAGUCACCUCAACAGCCACCUCUCAGCCCCCAAAAAACCAACCCCAACACUUGUAUCUCAGCCCCAAAAAUCAACAGCCACCCCAACAGCCACAUCCCGGACGCAAAACCCAACCCCAAUGCUCGUAUUUCAGCCCCCAAAACCACCAGUCACCUCAACAGCCACGUCUCAGCCCCCCCAAAACAGCCCUGACACCUCCUUCUGCUCCAAAAACCAGCAGCCACCCCAAAACCUGUGUCUCAUCCCCAAAAAGCAAGAGGCACCCCAACAUCUGCAUCUCAGCCCCCAAAAACCAAAUCCAACACCUGCAUCUCAACCCCAAAACCCACCAGCCAUCCCCAACCCUAUGUGUCAUCCCCAAAAACAAGAGGGACCCCAACACCAGCAUCUCAGCCCAAAAACCCAUUAGUCACCCCAACACCUGCAUCUCAGCCCCCAAAGAUACCAGCCACCCCAAAACCCGUGUCUCAGCCCCAAAAACAAGAGACACCCCAACACCAGUGUCUCAAACCUGGUGCCCCACCAGCCCUCCCACCCCCCCAGCUCCUGCCUGCACCCCCAUGGUACCCCAGGGACACUGGUCACCCCAACACCCGCAUCUCAGCCCCAAAACCCAACAGCCACUCCGAAACCCUUGUCUCAGCCCCCACAACUAACAGCCACCCCAAAACCCGCAUUUCAGCCCCAAAAUCCAGGGCCAGGCCAGCCACGUGCCAUCCCGGUCCAACCACCUGGCCCUCCAGACCCUCGUGGUGUGGGGAGGAUGGACGGGGCAGUCUGGGGACGAGGGGACAGGGGGUCACCCCACCCCAGGAGCUCCAUCGAGGGGACCCCAAAGGACAGACGGGGUGAGGACCCAUGGGGAGCCCCUCCAGCUCCUCUCCCAAAGCUGGGGAGCACCCUGGGUGGGGUCAGGUUGGGUNNNNNNNNNNNNNNNNNNNNNNNNNNNNNNNNNNNNNNNNNNNNNNNNNNNNNNNNNNNNNNNNNNNNNNNNN
rnacentral:lncRNA from 1 species